rnacentral:rRNA from 1 species
GAGUUUGAUCUUGGCUCAGAUUGAACGCUGGCGGCAUGCCUUACACAUGCAAGUCGAACGGCAGCACGGGAGCUUGCUCCUGGUGGCGAGUGGCGAACGGGUGAGUAAUGCAUCGGAACGUAUCCUGGAGUGGGGGAUAACGUAGCGAAAGUUACGCUAAUACCGCAUAUUCUGUGAGCAGGAAAGCGGGGGACCUUCGGGCCUCGCGCUCUUGGAGCGGCCGAUGUCGGAUUAGCUAGUUGGUGAGGUAAAGGCUCACCAAGGCGACGAUGGGUAGCCGACCUGAGAGGGUGACCGGCACACUGGGACUGAGACACUGCCCAGACUCCUACGGGAGGCUGCAGUCGAGAAUCUUCCGCAAUGCGCGCAAGCGUGACGGAGCGACGCCGCGUGGGUGAUGAAGGCUUUACUGUUGUAAAACCCUGUCAGCUACCAUGAAAUGUGGGCAAUGAACAAUUGUCCCACUUGACCUAAGUAGCAGAGGAAGCACCGGCUAACUACG